UAAACUUAUCAAAAUAUAAGUUAAGAGAUUAAGCUCAUGAACCACAAAUUUAUAUAAGUAUUAAAAUCACAAUUUGAUAAACACAAUGACAAACUAACCCGUAAAAGCAGCAGAAGAAUAAGCCAAAGUAGACUUCUAAACAGUGCACCUUCUCCUCUCUUGCAAAACCAAAAGUACUCAAACUAACAAUAGGUCUUAGUUCAAUAUUGAGCAUAUGUUUUGUGAGAGCAGUGGCUUAUGUUUUUAUACUAAACAUAGAUUGCCCUAUUACAAUCCUACAGGGAAUACAAGACCAAAUCCUUGUAUAAGUAUGAGUUCUAUUCUCGAGCCAACAAUAGAGUUUCAAUCCAAACCAAAGUUGAAUUAACUCUUAUAAACACAUUAAGACCUCUUUAUACCAAUCUAAAAUAACAAUGAUUAUUACUAAACUGUAAGAAUCACACUCAUACUCUAACAUUCUCCCACUUGAGUAUGAUUCACAACAGUAAAUAAUCAUCUCAAAUUCAAUAUAAGGGUGAUCACAUAAGUCAUUCUUCAACCACACUAGUACAUAGACACAACCAGCUUACAUAAACCAAAACAAUGAAUUUAUAAUUGCCUCUGCAACACAAUAUACAGAUUUAACUUACAAAUCACAAUGUCCAGUUUGUGUUCAUAGCAAUGUAUCUAAGCUCAAAAGUAAACCAAGACGUCUACUCCCACUCAUAUAGCCACCAAAUCUUUUGGAUAACAAAAGCUUAACCUCACAUACAACUUACCUAUGCAUUUUAAAGUAUUGAACUUAAGAAUCUUUUCUGUUACAUCGCAGAAUUAACUCAAAAGUCACAACAUACUUAAUUUGCACUUUGUAAUUAUGUGAACCAAUAUAGCAAAACCAAACCAAUUUGCUCCCACUUAUCUAGGCCAUACUCAACACAACCAAGUUAAGUAAAAGAUGUGGUAUAGCAACUAUAUUAACUAAAAAAUCAUUCCAACACAAUGAAUGACUAAUCAGAAUCCAUAUGGAAACCAAAUUCAUUUCCUUUUGAAUGCUAACCGACAUAAUAGGAUCCUUCUCAUUACUUAAACAAAUUAAGUAACACAAAUAAUUCAACCAAAUGAAUUAUAAUGGCCGGCCUAACUCUUAGCCUUAUGCUUACAUUCGAACAUAUGAUUCUCCCACUUAAGCAUAAGCAAAAUGUAUUGCACAACCAAUAAAGAAACCGGAGAUAUGAACCAAUUGGUUCCUGAUUCCUCACCAAUUGCAUAAUCUCAGUUUAGUCAUAUACACCUAAACCAUUAUGCAAAUAGUCUAUGUAUCAAAAGAUAGUCACAAUCCAUUCGGAAAAACUUAUCUCACAUAAACCCAAAAUCACUAGUUUCAACAAUGAUCAAAAUCAGAAUAGCAAGCACAAUAUUUUUGCAUUCAAUUUGAUCCUAACUAGUUCAAUAUCUAGUUCAAUAUCCAUCGAGUAAGAUCGACCAAAUUUUGAUAAUGUCUAGAUAUAUAUCACAACAACAUGUCUUGAUUAAAACGAGAUAAUCAAAACCACUAUUUGUUCUGGAGAACUCAAAGUUCAUCUUCCUCCCUAUUUGUGAUUUCAACCAAAACAUAAUAGCGGAAGCAUGCAUCAUAAAUGAAAUCACAAAUAUACAUAUACAACAACCAUGCAUCUUAAACUCCUUGAUUUUCACAAUACAAUAUUAAGCACAUGCUUUCUUAUGAAUUCAUAAGUUAAAUCAAUAUGCAUUCGGCAAUGUCAAUUUGUGUUGUACAUAAUAACUAAGGUGACGGUAACCCAAAUUAAAAUUCCUAUCGUGAAUUCAAUGUCAACACCACAAGAAUGUACAACAAACAAUUCUAUAUAUGACCCCAUAGAGGGUAUAUAAACUGAAAACCUAAUUUAUUUAUUUUCAAGUAUACACCAUGAAUGAUAUAAUAUGCCAACCAUAAAUCAUGUGCCCAAAAUAAUGAAUAAAUCGCAUACUCAAAAAGAUGCAUAUAUAUGUUUACAUAUACUUUUAUAAUAAUGAGAAUGAAAUCACGACCAUUAGAAAAGCCCAACUUUAUAGCCGCAAAAAUUCACUUGAGGCAAUCAAUAAAACAUAUCAAAAGAUGAUUUCAAACAUCUCACAUAAAUCACAAGUUGGCAUCUAUAUAGGGAUUUCGAGUUUAAUCAUGCCUUCACAGUAUAUAUAAAUAAACAAGCAUACUCGAAAUAACAAAAGCCCUAAUUCAUCAUGCUCUAACUCAUCACACUAUAAUCAUGCAUAUAAGAGAACAAUUAAUCAUGCAUGAAACAGUGAAACAGUGAAAUGAGUUACCCAAAUGCAUCACUGGACCCGUAUUAGUCAACCCGACUGAGAUUCCUCGACUCCACAUCAACGAAACAAACUAUCCAUCAAUGCUUGAGAACCAUCCAUGCAGAUUGCCUUCACUCCAGAUUCACAUGGAUCCCGUAAUAUUGCAGAUUAUUGAAGUAAAUCUCCAGUGUUACAAGUUUGCUGAACCAAAAUCAUCGUCAAAAGUUAUCGGCCCGUAUCUCGUCAACACAAAUUCCCGUAAAAAAAAAAUUAUGAACGUUAGUAUCUCUUAGAAUAUGUUAGACAACAUAUAAAUGUCCUCAAACCAAGAAACCUCAAAACCAAUAUUUCAUAAUUACAAAUACACAAGUUGCAUUCAAGAUAAUCCUUAUAAAAAUUACAAAUAAUAGCUUCUUGCCUCAAAACCGAUUGUGUCACAUGCAUUAAUGCUUUAUUAGUCUAAUAUCAAACCAUUAAUUUAAUAACCACAACAAAUAAAAAGGUUAAUUAUUAGACUAACCAUUAGAUGCAUCAAGACACAAAACCAUGGCCUCCAAUAUCGACAUAUGCAAUUCAAUAUAUUGACAUAUGUACAAUAACAAUUCUAUUAAUCCUAAGAUUUAUACAUGAUAACAUAAGUUGACAAUAAUCCAAAUUAAAAAUCUUCAUACCUUUAAUUCAUUGUCAACACCAUCAUCAAUUAUAUACAUAUUUGUAAGCAAGUCAUUGGAGAAAAUAAUGACAGCUACAUAUCAUUAAUCUUAUGAUUUUCCAGUAAGAUGACAAAAUAAUUAUUUGCUUUCCGAUUCAUAAUGGAAUAUACAUUUUGUAAAUGGCUAAAAGUUUAUUGUCGCAAGACUCAUUGUAGGCAGUCAAUAAAACAUCUACCUUAUAUAUUCAUUUGUAUGUGUUGCUCCAUAGCACCCACAAGCUUUCAUAUUUGACGAAAAUUAAUAUCACGGAUUUGAACCGUAUAAAUAAUACAUGAUAUGCAGUCAAUUCUAUUAAUUCCAACCCAAACUUGACAUAAAUCAAUCCAAUUGAAAAUCAAUAAUUGACAAUAAGAAGCGUGUUGUUCCAUAAAUUAUAUAUACCAAGAUCCCGAUAUGAAAUAAUACACUCAACCAUUUAUACUUACGAAACUUGUGUAUAAUGCCGCACACCAUAUUUAUAAUCGAAGUCUAUCAAAUUGAAUUGAUUCAUUAUCCUUUCAUUCGUUUGGCAGUAACAUGCCAAAGCUACAAGACUAUAUGCGGCAAACAUGAUAUUCAUUACAAGAAACUCAAUUCAAAGUCCAAAAUUUCUCACAAACUAAGCUUGACCCCUGCUAAUUUACCGUCACGUAUUUUGCUCUUUUAAUUUAAUACUUUCAAUUUGAAUUCAAGAGCAAAAAUCUUAGGCUCUGAUACCACAUGUAAGAUUAAACUUAUCAAAAUAUAAGUUAAGAGAUUAAGCUCAUGAACCACAAAUUUAUAUAAGUAUUAAAAUCACAAUUUGAUAAACACAAUGACAAACUAACCCGUAAAAGCAGCAGAAGAAGAAGCCAAAGUAGACUUCUAAACAGUGCACCUUCUCCUCUCUUGCAAAACCAAAAGUACUCAAACUAACAAUAGGUCUUAGUUCAAUAUUGAGCAUAUGUUUUGUGAGAGCAGUGGCUUAUGUUUUUAUACUAAACAUAGAUUGCCCUAUUACAAUCCUACAAGGAAUACAAGACCAAAUCCUUGUAUAAGUAUGAGUUCUAUUCUCGAGCC
rnacentral:lncRNA from 1 species